rnacentral:rRNA from 1 species
UACGUAGGGACCGAGCGUUGUCCGGAUUCAUUGGGCGUAAAGAGCUCGUAGGCGGCUGCUCAAGUCGAAUGUGAAAACUCGAGGCUCAACCUCGAGCCUGCAUUCGAUACUGGGCGGCUAGAGUCUGGUAGGGGGAUCUGGAAUUCCUGGUGUAGCGGUGGAAUGCGCAGAUAUCAGGAGGAACACCGGUGCGGAAGGCGGGUCUCUGGGC